AGAGUUUGAUCCUGGCUCAGGACGAACGCUGGCGGCGCGCCUAACACAUGCAAGUCGAACGAAGCACUUUCGGUGCUUAGUGGCGGACGGGUGAGUAACACGUGAGCAACCUGCCUCAUAGAGGCGGAUAACGUUUGGAAACGAACGCUAAUACCGCAUAAUGUCUUUUGGGGACAUCCCCGGGGGACCAAAGGAGUAAUCCGCUAUGAGAUGGGCUCGCGUCCGAUUAGAUAGUUGGCGGGGUAACGGCCCACCAAGUCGACGAUCGGUAGCCGGACUGAGAGGUUGAUCGGCCACAUUGGGACUGAGACACGGCCCAGACUCCUACGGGAGGCAGCAGUGGGGGAUAUUGCACAAUGGGGGAAACCCUGAUGCAGCGACGCCGCGUGAGGGAAGAAGGUCUUCGGAUUGUAAACCUCUGUCUUCGGUGACGAAAAUGACGGUAACCGAGGAGGAAGCCACGGCUAACUACGUGCCAGCAGCCGCGGU
rnacentral:rRNA from 1 species